rnacentral:rRNA from 1 species
GUGUCAGCCGCCGCGGUAAUACGGAGGGGGCUAGCGUUGUUCGGAAUUACUGGGCGUAAAGCGCGCGUAGGCGGACCUGCAAGUCGGGGGUGAAAGCCCGAGGCUCAACCUCGGAACUGCCUUCGAUACUGCGGGUCUCGAGUCCGGGAGAGGUGAGUGGAAUUCCUAGUGUAGAGGUGAAAUUCGUAGAUAUUAGGAAGAACACCAGUGGCGAAGGCGGCUCACUGGCCCGGUACUGACGCUGAGGCGCGAAAGCGUGGGGAGCAAACAGGAUUAGAUACCCUGGUAGUCCACGCCGUAAACUAUGGGUGCUAGCCGUCGGUCGGCAUGCCGGUCGGUGGCGCAGCCAACGCAUUAAGCACCCCGCCUGGGGAGUACGGUCGCAAGAUUAAA